AGAGUUUGAUCCUGGCUCAGGAUGAACGCUGGCGGCGUGCUUAACACAUGCAAGUCGAACGAUUGAAGCUGGAGCUUGCUCCGGCCGAUUUAGUGGCGGACGGGUGAGUAACGCGUGGGUAACCUGCCUCAUACAGGGGGAUAGCAGUUGGAAACGACUGGUAAAACCGCAUAAGCGCACGGUGUCGCAUGACACAGUGUGAAAACACUCCGGUGGUAUGAGAUGGACCCGCGUCUGAUUAGCUAGUUGGUGAGGUAACGGCCCACCAAGGCGACGAUCAGUAGCCGGCCUGAGAGGGUGAACGGCCACAUUGGAACUGAGACACGGUCCAGACUCCUACGGGAGGCAGCAGUGGGGAAUCUUCCGCAAUGGGCGCAAGCCUGACGGAGCAACGCCGCGUGAGUGAAGAAGGGUUUCGACUCGUAAAGCUCUGUUGUCGGGGACGAACGUGGAGACGGCGAAUAGCCGUUUCCAAUGACGGUACCUGACGAGGAAGCCACGGCUAACUACGUGCCAGCAGCCGCGGUAAUACGUAGGUGGCGAGCGUUGUCCGGAAUUAUUGGGCGUAAAGGGAGCGCAGGCGGGAAGGUAAGUCUAUCUUAAAAGUGCGGGGCUCAACCCCGUGAGGGGAUGGAAACUAUCUUUCUUGAGUGCAGGAGAGGAAAGCGGAAUUCCUAGUGUAGCGGUGAAAUGCGUAGAUAUUAGGAGGAACACCAGUGGCGAAGGCGGCUUUCUGGACUGUAACUGACGCUGAGGCUCGAAAGCGUGGGGAGCGAACAGGAUUAGAUACCCUGGUAGUCCACGCCGUAAACGAUGAAUGCUAGGUGUAGGAGGUAUCGACCCCUUCUGUGCCGGAGUUAACGCAAUAAGCAUUCCGCCUGGGGAGUACGGCCGCAAGGCUGAAACUCAAAGGAAUUGACGGGGGCCCGCACAAGCGGUGGAGUAUGUGGUUUAAUUCGACGCAACGCGAAGAACCUUACCAGGGCUUGACAUUGAGUGAAAGGACAAGAGAUUGUCCCCUCUCUUCGGAGACACGAAAACAGGUGGUGCAUGGCUGUCGUCAGCUCGUGUCGUGAGAUGUUGGGUUAAGUCCCGCAACGAGCGCAACCCCUAUUCUUUGUUGCCAGCACGUUAUGGUGGGAACUCAAAGGAGACUGCCGCGGACAACGCGGAGGAAGGCGGGGAUGACGUCAAGUCAUCAUGCCCCUUAUGUCCUGGGCUACACACGUACUACAAUGGGAUGGACAGAGAGUAGCGAAGCCGCGAGGCCAAGCGAACCCCAUAAACCAUCUCCCAGUUCGGAUUGCAGGCUGCAACCCGCCUGCAUGAAGUUGGAAUCGCUAGUAAUCGCAGGUCAGCAUACUGCGGUGAAUACGUUCCCGGGCCUUGUACACACCGCCCGUCACACCACGGAAGUCAUUCACACCCGAAGCCGGCAGGCUAACCUUUAUGGAGGCAGCCGUCUAAGGUGGGGGCGAUGACUGGGGUGAAGUCGUAACAAGGUA
rnacentral:rRNA from 1 species